GCACACUCCCGCACUCGCGCCCGCUCCUCCCGCACGCUCGCCGCGCCCUCACCUCUCUCUUUCUCCCUCCAAACCCUGCCCCCGCUGCCGGCGCCGCCGCCGCUCGCCCGGGCACCCAUCCAUGGCCUCACGCCCAACCGUCUCCUUCUCCUAUCCCAAACCUAUCCGCCUCAUCGCCUCGUUCCAGCUCUCUUUCCCUCUCUCGAUCUCCUCUUCAAACCCUAGAUGGCGCCCGCUUGCUCCCUUCCACGCUGCCGCCGCUCGCUGUGCUCCCCGUCCAGCCGUGCCUUCCACGCCGCCGCCGCUCGCUGUGCUCCCCGUCCAGCCGUGCCUUCCAUGCCGCCGCCGCUCACUGUGCUCCUCAUACACGGGCAACACAAGAAGGCCGCAGCGGGAGCAAGGCUCACGAUCUCUGCCUUCACAACGGCUCUAGAGCCUCGACGAGGCGAGGUGGUCUCUCUCCAUCUCUCCCCCCCCCCAUCUCUGCCUUCACAACGGCUCUAGAGCCUCACGCUCCUACUUCUACGUAUUUUGACUUCUGUUUUCCUAAAGAUUGGUCCGUUUGGUCGAUCCCCUCGGUUCUAUGUUCGAUCUGUGUCAGGCAGCCUCGUCUUCGUCCAAGAAUCUGCAGGUGUGUGUGUUGUUGAGGCUACCAAACAAGCCAACGGCAUUGCAUAAAUGGUUUGUGAAAAUUGUCAUUGGAGUCUAGCUAGGGUAGUAGGCUGUCAAGAAGAUGUGGUCGCUUGUAUAACGUGAGCUCAAUCUGUGAUGCAUGCAUUUUUUAGGAUUAUUAUGUCUGUGUGCAAUUUAGUAAGUGGGUUUUAGAUUAAUAUGGUUCAUUUGGACGGUUGUGCUUAAUCUGGUUUAUUUGGUCUGUUUGUUUUAGGCUGUCAUCUUCAGUUAUAUUUACUAUGCCAGGUGCCUAAUUUAAUGCUUAAACUCCUUUGGUUUGCUUGGAUUAACUGAAUUGGCCUAUUCAGUCAGUUUAUAUUAUAUUCACUCUUCAGAAUUAGGAUUUGUUAAAAUGGAUGUCUGGAAGCAUAAGUUAGCUCUGUGAAAUGGUUGCGCUCAAAUUCAGAAUUUCUGCUUCAUGCUUCUUUGCGGCUGUGUUUUUAUGUAAAUAUGUGCUCUCUCCUUUUCGUGUAGCAUGCUGCUUGAUGGUUUCCUAUUCAUGGUUCUUGGUGGUUACUACUACUGUACUGGCUGCUCUUAUAUAGACAAUGUUUCUUAGAGUUCGGUGGUAACUUCAGAUCUUCAUGCACUGUUGGAAACUGUUGGAUACUGUUCUUUCCGGAGUGUUGUUGUUAUUUACAUGUGAAGUUAAGUCACUACAAUGUGUUGGCCCUGUGUCUUUCUGCUCUGUGAGAUGUGUGACCGUGUCAUCUUGAUGCAGCUUGCAUGUGCCAUCAGUGAGUGGUCUUGCGGAGUUGCAGGACUGGGCAGGAGGACCGUAGGCUGCACACAUAGACGAGGAUGUCGAGUUGUCCACUACGAAAGGAGUGUCGACCGCGAAUAUAAAGAGUAGGUUGAGCCAUCGCCAUUCAUCUAGGCUCCGCAGGAGGAGCACAUGCUAUAGAGAUGGACGAUGAGGCUAGCCAUCCAUUUUGCAUCAACACUCUUUUCACCUCGUCUGGCCAUCCCUCCACCAGGCUUCUUCAAUGGGCAAGAAGAAUAACAUGGAGAGAAGUCUUCCACUGACUGAUUUAACAUCUGGUUUGCAUCGUGGUCAGAAUGUGUAUUGUAGAUGACGGUCGUCAAAUCUAUAGAAAUCUGGAGUUCGCCAAAGCUGGCCACGCUGUCGCAGAUCGGUUCAUGAUCGCGUGGGGGCAUCCUCUGGAGCUUCCCUGAGGAUUCAGAUGCACAAAUUCUGGGCUGCAAACCAUCUAGAUGCUUCAGGAUUCAGAUGACCAAUGUUUUGGGCUGCAACCUUGAGAUGGUUGACAAGCAGUUUGACUCGGGGCAGAGGUCGAUGAGUGAAUCAGAGAAAGAUCAAGUUGGUGGCCUGAAGUCCCAGAAGAAAAAGGAGGAAUCAAAUGCAUGGUUGACUCAACCCAAGCCAAGUCGGCCGGACUGCAGGAAACGCAAGGGGAGGAGGACCUGGAGCGGCCACUGCCGAGGGAGUGGCUGAUGGAGGUGGUCUGCAUAUGUCGUAUGAGUCAAGGAGGUCUACCGCAAGCGGCCGAUGAUGGGCGCGCCGAGGAUGAGAUCUCCGGUGGAAAGAUGCGUCUGCACCUGGCCAUCUCUCCAGCAAGACGUGCCAGCCAAUUCUCUCUUGCCCCUCCUUCCACACCGGCUCGCCGUCUCACCCACCAGAGGUGAUGAGGAUCCGCUACCAUCAUAGUUGUGAUUGUAAAACAUAAUCCAUCCAAAGCUGACUGAGAUAGACCAGCAAUCAUUACCAUCGACGAUGCAUUUUCAGGCUUAGGCGUUUGUCUGCAAAGCCGGAAAGGAAGCACUAAGGCCCAUCUCAGUUAUGAUAGCAAACAAGGUGGCUUGAAAUAAAUGGUGCACAUCUGUUCAAGGGGUAAUGUUGACGCGUACGAGGGUUUUCAGUAUACGGCCAUCAAGCCAGAUGUUGUGGUGACAGUCAUGAGGCAACUAUACAUUUACUAUAAAGACUGGUCUAUGACAGUCCUUCUACUCGCUCUUCAUUGAAAAUUAUGAAUUAUUGUUGCAUCUACUAGGGAGACAUGCAUAUCUCCCUUCCUAAAGAAGAGAGUGCAUGUUCUAAUGCUGUCAACCUGUAGGUAUGUGCAUUUGUGUAUUUAUUCAAUGAAAAGCACCAAACAUUUGUCUUUAUGUUUGAUAAUUGGGUGUCUAAAUUGGCGGAUUAAAUACUCCGUUCCGCGACAACUAAGCUUUCUAUGGUUGGUGUACCUACAUUACGCUUGAAACCAUUUCGUGUAUAUUGGGUUUAUUCAGUUGUAAUACCGAGUUUAUGAAACUAUCUUAUUGAAAUUAUUGCUUCCCGAGAGAAGCAUGUAUGCCACGCAUUC